rnacentral:rRNA from 1 species
UACGUAGGGUGCAAGCGUUGUCCGGAAUUAUUGGGCGUAAAGAGCUCGUAGGCGGUUUGUCGCGUCUGCUGUGAAAACUGGAGGCUCAACCUCCAGCCUGCAGUGGGUACGGGCAGACUGGAGUGCGGUAGGGGAGAAUGGAAUUCCUGGUGUAGCGGUGGAAUGCGCAGAUAUCAGGAGGAACACCGAUGGCGAAGGCAGUUCUCUGGGCCGUAACUGACGCUGAGGAGCGAAAGCGUGGGGAGCGAACAGG